UUAUCGACAAAGAUCCGCACCGCGUAUGCGGCGCGGUGUAUUCGGCGAGCUAUGGUGGCGGGUUGUUGUGUGUGUACUCUUGUGCAUGCGCAUGCCGUCGUCGUACCUUGCUUAGGCUAUGUGUGCCCAAAUUGCUUAUCGCAAUCAUUUGCUCCAUGCGAGGCGAUGAUGGCCGUCAAAAUGCACAUCUCUCCCAGAUGCGGCUCCGAGCGCACUACGUGUUAUAGCUUGGAGUUUGCGUCACGCUUUCAGUGGAGGGAAGGGCUUGAUGGUGGCUGUCAACUUGC
rnacentral:misc_RNA from 1 species